CCAUGGUUAGCCCAGCCAGUAGAGCAUGAGACUCUUAAUCUCAAGGUUGUGAGUUUGAGCCCCAUUCUGUGAU